rnacentral:misc_RNA from 1 species
AACGUUGGGAGUCCUUGAUGUUACAAAAAACACUAGAAUCCAUGUCUGAUGUUGCCUAUUGUCCACGAUGUGAAACACCCUGCAUAGAAGAUGAAGACCAGCAUGCGCAAUGCUCUAAGUGCUUCUUUAGCUUCUGCACACUUUGCAGGGAGCGACGCCAUGUUGGUAUAGCAUGCCUAACACCAGAAUUGAAGCUUCGUAUCUUAGAGGAACGCCAGAAUUCAUCUCAACUCAAGGGUGAGCAAAGGCGUAGAGAACUUGAGAUGAUCAAUGACCUUCUUAGUGUGAAGGAAAUACUUCGUGAUGCUAAGCAAUGCCCAUCUUGUAAGAUGGCAAUCUCAAGAACUGAAGGUUGCAAUAAGAUGGUAUGUAAUAACUGUGGGCAAUACUUCUGCUACCGCUGUAACAGUGCAAUUGAUGGAUAUGAUCAUUUUAAGGAUGGAUCAUGUGAACUGUUCCCACAAGAAACAAUUAGGCAGUGGGAGGGGCAGAUGAAUGCUCGCCAGAUUGUGGCUCAGGUUCAAGCUGAGCUCUUUGCUGAGCAUGGUCACUCAUGUCCUAAUUGUGGUCAAUUCAAUGCAAAGGUUGGCAAUAACAAUCACAUAUUUUGCUGGGCAUGCCAAAAGCACUAUUGCUACUUGUGCAGAAAGAUUGUGAGGCGCAGCUCUCAGCAUUAUGGACCCAAGGGCUGCAAGCAGCACACAGUUGGAUAAGCAUUUAAAGAGGAAAAUCAAAGAUCCAGCAACAAUGGGAUCGACAUGCAUCUUCACUCUCAUAAUUAUUAUCUAUACGUAUGCAUCGUCACUCUUUACAUACGGCUUAUAUUCUUUAUUGCGAGAUUUUGUUUUUGGUUAGCAGCACUAAUUUUUAACGUUCAGUGCGCUGAGAGUAUUCUAUAAUAUUUCUUAGACAUGAAACAGGACCAUAUGAGAAGCAAAAAUACAAAAAUGAAUGAAAGCCGUAUGUAAAGAGUGACGAUGCAUA